AGGGGAGACACAAAGAUAGAAUCUUUAUAGGAGAAAGGCAGAGAUACACACAGAAGAGAGUCUGUGAGUGAAAGAGAGGUAGGUGUUUGAGGUUGGAAUUAAGAGGUUUGGAGGGUUUAUGAAAAGAGAGAGAGGAGAGUGAGGAAGGGUUAAAUGGGGAAGUUAUGAAGGCACUUACAAGAAAGUGAGAAUAUAAGUUGUCCCACUUUAUUAUGUCUCAAUUCAAUAAUAAUUUGAUACAUACUUAUAAUAAAAUAUAAAAAGAACAUUUUUAUGUGAUUUUAUGAAAUAUGAUUG
rnacentral:lncRNA from 1 species